rnacentral:misc_RNA from 1 species
AAGUCGUAACAAGGUUUCCGUAGGUGAACCUGCGGAAGGAUCAUUACCGAAUUGUCAACACGAGUUGUUGCUGGUCCUCGAAUGAGGGCAUGUGCACGCUCUGUUUACACAUCCACUCACACCUGUGCACCCUCCAUGGUUCUGCAGCCUGGGGGCUCUGUCCCCCUGCCGUGGUUCUAUGUAUUUACAUACACACUGUAGUAAAGUCCGAUGGAAUGCAUACCGCGUUUAACGCAAUAUAAUACAACUUUCAGCAACGGAUCUCUUGGCUCUC